ensembl:lncRNA NKAPP1 NFKB activating protein pseudogene 1
GGCCGGAGGCCACACAGACCUGGGGAAAUGUUUUGCCAACGUACUCGCAAUAGUUCCCAUGGUUUCCUUUGCUCCCAGCGGUUGCGCGGGCUGGGUUUUUGGAGCAAAGGCAACGGAUACUGCUGAGGCUCCUGAGAAUGUCCCGUUUUCGAGGCUGCAGUAGCUCCGGUGUCCGGUUCUGCAGUGCCGAGAGGGAGGCCUCGGGCUCCGGGCGGGGGAAUGUGUUGCAGUUUGUCCAAGAGCCCCAAGCCCAGCAAAGCCGCCCGUUCCCCGCUGGGGCGCAACUCUCACUGGAACUCUUGUUCUCUGACUGGGGAAUGGAAUGGGCUCAGCCAAGGCUCCCGAAACCAGCCCUGCCGCUCCCAGUUGUGGUCGCAUUCUCAAGAGCGGCUGACUGCGCCGUGGACCAUCACUUUCGCUUCUGCCUGCUCUUGCGCCUAUUGCGGCAACUACUCACGCUCCUACGGGACGAGGAGAGGGAGGUGAAUCCGUGGCAGAGCUCUGCUGAACAUAUUGAAGUAAAGAAUGAAGAGCCAAAGAAAUGCACUACUUCAGUUUCUACAUCAGAAAGUAUUUUUAAGAUACAGACCUUUCUUGAGAAGUUAGAAAAAGUUUAUAAAUAGUUAAACAUUAGACUUUACUUUUAUUCAAAUUGCCUAUCAUCUAUUCCUUUUCAGUAUUUCAAAUGCAAUAAAAUUGAUAAUCA